GAAACGUUUUGCCCGUCGGAUCCAUGCCCGAAGGUACUGUUAUUUGCAACAUCGAACAAAAAAUGGGUGAUGGUGGAGCUAUCGGCCGUGCCUCA
rnacentral:ribozyme from 1 species